rnacentral:misc_RNA from 1 species
GAAAUGCGAUAAGUAGUGUGAAUUGCAGAAUUCAGUGAAUCAUCGAAUCUUUGAACGCACAUUGCGCCCCUCGGUAUCCCGGGGGGCAUGCCUGUUCGAGCGUCAUUUCUACCACUCAAGCUUAGCUUGGUAUUGAGCAACGUUGCCAUUUUAACGUGCUUUAAAUGUAGACGGCGGCAAGUAUAAGUUCCGAGCGUAGCAGUAAAACAUUUCGCUUUAGGGAUUUUGUACAUUGUCAACCGCGCAGUUUUAACUAUAGUUUGACCUCGGAUCAGGCAGGGAUACCCGCUGAACUUAA